rnacentral:rRNA from 1 species
UACGUAGGGUGCAAGCGUUGUCCGGAAUUAUUGGGCGUAAAGAGCUCGUAGGCGGUUUGUCGCGUCUGCUGUGAAAACUCGGGGCUUAACUCCGGGCCUGCAGUGGGUACGGGCAGACUAGAGUGCGGUAGGGGAGACUGGAAUUCCUGGUGUAGCGGUGAAAUGCGCAGAUAUCAGGAGGAACACCGGUGGCGAAGGCGGCAUCCUGGACCGACAUUGACGCUGAGGCGCGAAAGCCAGGGGAGCAAACGGG